rnacentral:misc_RNA from 1 species
AAGUCGUAACAAGGUUUCCGUAGGUGAACCUGCGGAAGGAUCAUUAAAUAAUCAAUAAUCUUGGCUAGUCCAUUAUUAUCUAUUUACUGUGAACUGUAUUAUUAUUUGACAUUUGAGGGAUGUUCCAAUGUUAUAAGGAUAGACAUUGGAAAUGUUAACCGAGUCAUAAUCAGGUUUAGGCCUGGUAUCCUAUUAUUAUUUACCAAAUGAAUUCAGAAUUAAUAUUGUAACAUAGACCUAAAAAAUCUAUAAAACAACUUUUAACAACGGAUCUCUUGGUUCUC